rnacentral:lncRNA from 1 species
AUUGGAAAGCACUUUGAGAUCCUAGCAUGAGAAGGUCAAAAUAUCAUUAAUAAUAACAACUUCUAUUUUCUUCUCCAGGUGCCAGUGCGCAUUCAUUUGUUUUUGAUGUAUUUCAGAAAGUGAAGGACACCAUCGAAAGAGUAUGUGAGCCGCUGAUGUCUCUGAGUCAGGAUUUCAGGAUCAAAUUGCUGGGAACCUUUAAGAGCUUUCUGCAGGAUGGUGAUGUUAUAUCAGAUGUUAAAACUGUGCGGGGGGUCAACCUAAGCACUCAAUGCUGGACUCGUUGGAUGAAAUUCUCCGGCCUCAGGCGGAAAAUUUGCUUCAUGAUUUAGGAGUUUUCUGUGAGGAUCAGAGAGAAGAAUCCCCUUCAUUAUUGCAACCGGUACACUUCCUGUGUUCUUCUUUAGAAGAUCUGGACUUUAGAGUGCUGCCCCUGCUUGUGACCUGCAUAGAGAAGAACAUGGUGGCCAAGCAGCUUGCGCUGAUGGAUGGCAUCAUGGAGUGGAUUCUUUCCAGUGACAAAGAAAGAAUCUUCAGCCUGGCCUCUUCUCUGCCAGAAGAAGAAAAGGACGUAACUGCAGAAAUGAUGAAUACCUGCGGAUUGAUUCCACAGACAGACA